ACUUCAUCCAAGGUAACUGGCGUUUUGCUAACCAUUACCUCAUAUGCAGCUUGCACUUCUUGUUCAAUCUUAGCUACCAUUUCCUCUUCUUGUUGUGGGGUUAGAAUACCACGGUCAAACAAGAAGUUACGUAACCGCUUCACAGGGUCACUCUUCAUCGCUUCCGCUUCCUCUUCUUUAGUACGGUAAAUGGAAGGGUCAUCGGAAGUGGUGUGGGGACCUUGACGUCAAGAGAAGAACUCAAUUAACACUGGUCCAUUACCGCUUCUCGCAUAGUUAGCUGCUUCGUGCAUUGCUUCGUAACUCGCAAUUAAGUCAUUACCGUCAACGCGAAUACGAGGAAUGUUAACCGCAAUAGCCUUGGUGGAAAGGUCACUUACAGCGGACUCUAAUUUAGUUCUGGUGGAAAUGGCAAACUGGUUGUUGUUAAUACAAAAGACCGAGUUUCACUUGUGAAUGGAAGCAAUGUUCAUCGCUUCAUAAAACUCACCUUCAGCUGUACCACCAUCCCCAAUCAUCGUAACGGCUACGUUAGGGAGUUUCUUGUAGUGCAACAUGUAACCAAGUCCAGCAGCAUGAGAGUACUGUGCACCAAUGGUAAUGUUAAUGGGCAGCGUUUUGUAUUUAGCUUCGAUCUUACUACCGUUUUCGUUACCGUUUCAGUAAAGUAAAAGCUGUUCUGGUUUAACACCACGGUACAACAUUAACGCACCGGAACGGAAGGUAGGGCAGAACCAGUCAUUUUCAUUUAAACCCAUGCCCAUACCAACUUGCAGUGCUUCCUCACCUAAGUUAGGCGCAAAGUUCAACAUCUUACCAGCACGUUGUCAAACAAGCAUCUUCUUGUCCAUGAUUCGGGAAAGAUUCAUGAGGUAAAAAGCGUGCUUUAACUGUUCGUUGCUAAGUGUAAUCUUGUGAUUAGGGUCCAUUAACUUACCCUCAUUGUCAUACACUUGGUAAAGUGUAGUAGGGACUUUGUUUUUAAUCAAAAUU
rnacentral:sRNA from 1 species